UUCGCAAUGCCCGAAAGGGUGACGAAGCGACGCCGCGUGGGUGAGGAAGGCCUUCGGGUUGUAAAGCCCUGUCAGGAGUUAAGAAAUGUAAGUGCGCUAAUAUCGCAUUUAUUUGACGAAGGCUCCAAAGGAAGCCACGGCUAACUCUGUGCCAGCAGCCGCGGUAAUACAGAGGUGGCAAGCGUUGUUCGGAAUUAUUGGGCGUAAAGAGCACGUAGGUGGGUUUGUAAGUCAGAUGUGAAAGCCUUCUGUUCAACGGAAGAAUUGCGUCUGAAACUGCGAGUCUUGAGUGUAGGAGGGGAGAAUGGAACUUCUGGUGGAGCGGUGAAAUGCGUAGAUAUCAGAAGGAACGCCGGCGGCGAAAGCGAUUCUCUGGCCUAUUACUGACACUCAGUGUGCGAAAGCUAGGGGAGCAAACGGGAUUAGAUACCCCGGUAGUCCUAGCCGUAAACGAUGGGCACUAAGUAGAGGGGUUUU
rnacentral:rRNA from 1 species